rnacentral:rRNA from 1 species
GUGCCAGCCGCCGCGGUAAUACGUAGGGUGCGAGCGUUGUCCGGAAUUACUGGGCGUAAAGAGCUCGUAGGUGGUUUGUCGCGUUGUUCGUGAAAUCUCACGGCUUAACUGUGAGCGUGCGGGCGAUACGGGCAGACUAGAGUACUGCAGGGGAGACUGGAAUUCCUGGUGUAGCGGUGGAAUGCGCAGAUAUCAGGAGGAACACCGGUGGCGAAGGCGGGUCUCUGGGCAGUAACUGACGCUGAGGAGCGAAAGCUKGGGGAGCGAACAGGAUUAGAUACCCUGGUAGUCCACGCCGUAAACGGUGGGUACUAGGUGUGGGUUUCCUUCCUUGGGAUCCGUGCCGUAGCUAACGCAUUAAGUACCCCGCCUGGGGAGUACGGCCGCAAGGCUAAAAACUCAAAGGAAUUGACGGGGGCCCGCACAAGCGGCGGAGCAUGUGGAUUAAUUCGAUGCAACGCGAAGAACCUUACCUGGGUUUGACAUGCGCAGGACGCGUCUAGAGAUAGGCGUUCCCUUGUGGCCUGUGUGCAGGUGGUGCAUGGCUGUCGUCAGCUCGUGUCGUGAGAUGUUGGGUUAAGUCCCGCAACGAGCGCAACCCUUGUCUCAUGUUGCCAGCGGGUAAUGCCGGGGACUCGUGAGAGACUGCCGGGGUCAACUCGGAGGAAGGUGGGGAUGACGUCAAGUCAUCAUGCCCCUUAUGUCCAGGGCUUCACACAUGCUACAAUGGCCGGUACAAAGGGCUGCGAUGCCGUAAGGUUAAGCGAAUCCUUUUAAAGCCGGUCUCAGUUCGGAUUGGGGUCUGCAACUCGACCCCAUGAAGUCGGAGUCGCUAGUAAUCGCAGAUCAGCAACGCUGCGGUGAAUACGUUCCCGGGCCUUGCACUCWCCGCCCGUC